UGGGAAAGCCUAAAGGAGACAGCACCUCUGU
rnacentral:piRNA from 1 species